ACUGCUUAGUAACAGCACAGUAACUAAUAUAAACAGAUGUAGAUCCCAGAUACUACAGUUUUAACGUUUGUCACUAAUCGGAGGUUUGAUUCUGAGAUGAGUUGAGCUAUGUAGGGUAUGUCUGCAUUUACUUUGGCUUUCCUUCUUCAUUGGAUGAAUGCUUUCAGAAUUACAGAUUUCAAAGCAAACUAGUCCUACUACUACCACUGUAGAUUCAUUUUCUCUCCGAAAUAGGCUGAAUGUCUGUGAUUUGUUAUUGUAGCACUUGUUUUAAUGCCUAUAAAUGUGCUGAUAAUAUAUGGGACAAGGUGUACUUGUGAAUAUAGGGCAGGUCCUAGCCUUUUGGGGGCCUGUCAUGACAAAUAAUGUCCCCCUCCACGUCACAAUGGGAUUACAUGAGUCCCAAUUUCUGUUGCUAGGGGUGUUGCUAGAACUUGCAACAUUAUGAUCUGUUUACUUAAUGAACCAACGCGUCCGUUACUAUGCUGGUUGCUCGGCUACCUUGUAGAGGUAGGAGGACGCAGGAAGUUAUUUUUCACCUCAGAAGCGCUUGCUCAGUAGCAAGCGGUAAAUUGCCGCUUAGGCCGGCCAGAGUGGCUCGCUUGUGGGCAUGCUGGCCUCAUAUGGGAGCAUAUAGCAACACCUUCAGUUGUGCGUCAAGAAUUGAGCAUAGCAAGUCUGGUAUGGAGGCCUGGUUAUGAAAAGGGUAAAUAGUUAUAUAGUAAUAUGCUCUAAAACUCGCUGGCGACAAAGAAACUUUGCUGCCCCGUUUCCAAUCGUCCACAUGGCUCGGAGAACUUAUUCAAAUAAGUAAAUACAUUUCUAAAAUGUAAAAAAAAAAACGCACGCUGUUUUAUUAGCUAACUAGCUACAGUGCAGGCUAACUCAAACAAUCUGCUAACGUUGCUAACAGUAGUUAGCUAUCUAGCCAACAGUAGUUAGCUAUCUAGCCAACAGUAGUUAGCUAUUCAGCCAACAGUAGUUAGCUAUCUAGCCAACAGUAGUUACCUAUCUAGCCAACUUUACAUACUGUAAUGAAACAGGCACGCUAUCGACUGUGCAGCAAAAGCAUGCUCGUGCGGCAGGGUCGAUUUCCGUGCUUAUAAACCCAGGGUCGUUACACUACUCCCUCCUUUCAAAGAGCGCAUCCUCGUGCUAGCUUGCGACGCGCUCACCGGCCAAGCACACGCACUGUCGUGGAUGCAAGGUCCGACCACUUCUGACACCAGUGUAAUGAAACAGGCAGGGAGCAGGUCUCGAACCCUCGACCUUCUAGACCGAGGUCCGGCGCACUAUCGACUGUGCCGCAAAAGCAUGCUCGUGCGGCAGGGUCGAUUGGAGAUUCCUGCUUACAGUUAACAUGUAGGGCACUACAAGGUUGUGCGACCAGGGCCAUCAGGGACUGCCUCCUGGAGGAAUUCAGGCAUGUGAAGGCUACCUGUGUCCUGCAUAACUUCAUGAGGAUCUGCUGCUCUGCAGGAUGUUAAAAGGAUGUGGUCCAACAACACAGCAAGAGAGGCAGUCCGUGUGUGGGAGAUCUUCACCUACUUCUUCGAAGAGGGUGUUGUUCCCUGAAGUCAUCUUGAGUGACCUAGAACUCUGGAACAAGUCUUACUCUCUGCAGAGAUGAGGAACCCUCCAUGACACAAUACCAUCAGAAAUCCAUGAGAAAACAUAUUUUAUUCUUGUUUUCAUGCUGGGAACCUGGCACCAUUUCCAGUCCUCGUCCUGGGUCCAGGCCUUCGAAGGUGUCCACACUCUACACAGAGGUCAGCGUCCACUGCUUCUGUCAGAAAUACGUGAGAAAAGAUGGUAGGUAUUUUACUACAUUGCAUCUUGUUGUAUAUUAUAUGUUAUUGUAAAUAACCUGUUAUACAAAUUUAAAACAAUAUUACAAAGAUGUUUUUUUGCAGACAUUGGCUGUGAAGUUGGUAAGUAUAUAGAAUAUGUAUUUGUCUUGUAGUCCAAGUAACAUUUACAAGUAUGUAAAUAUUUGUAUAUUUUUCCAUUUGUUUGCUGGCAAAUAUUUGAAACUUGUUAGCUGACAUGGCUAAUUGAGUGACUGUCAGUGACUGACAAAGAUCUUGUGUAAUUCUACUAUUUUAACUCUCAACAGUAAGUUGAGACUGAGUUUCUAUUUUUUUAUAGAUUUUUUGGGGUCAGGCCCUAAGCGACUGUUUAUCAAAUGUUAUUGGUCACAUACACAUAUUUAGCAGAUGUUAUUGCCUGUGUAAACUACUGUUUAUAUACUGCUUUACUCAUCUCAUAAAG